GGAAGAGCAAGAAGGGGACCAUCAGGCAUACCGAAGUGGUAGUUCAUCGUUGAUAUCCGGUGCACAAUGAGAAGGGCUCAACCACCUCCAGGAUUGUCUCCUUCUUUGAUAAACAUUGUGCUAUGCUACUGAACUCAAAUGGCACAAGUGUUUGAUUCAGCACAUUACACACUUGGACAUGAGUUGAUUCAGCAGUUUGAUUUUAGUUUAUAUACAAGUUUUCCUGCACAUGAGUUUGAUUUUCAAACUAUUUUUUCUAAAAAAUUGUUGGCUUGCAUGCGCAAAUUUUGCUUGCACAUGAGUUCAAUCAGAAUUUUGAGUUUAGUAGCAUAGCACAUGACUUGUUCAAGAAUUGCCCGCACAUGAAUCAAAUUUUCCACCGACUCUUUUUCUUAAAAACCGACCAGACUGUACAAGGUGCAGGUCACUUUCUGAGUCCUCUACUGUUGGUUUUCGAAUCUAAUUGUAGGAUGGAACUGGAAUGAUAAACCACCAACUAUGUUCUAUGUGUAUACAUCAGUCUUUAUGCAUGAACUCAAGUGACCAACAGCUUGUCCAUCAGUCUUUGUUUUCAAUUUCUGUUCAUAAAUUUGCACAUAUUUACUCUUGUAACAUUUCCUUGUAAAUACAGACAAUGAGGACUGAAGCUUUUUGCGGCAAUUGAUGUUAACCUCCAGUAGAUGAUGAAGCAAAAAGAUGUCAGCUUUCUCUAUAAUCUGUUGAAUUUUCGAAAUGUAAUUGCUGCUCCUUGAAAGACGUAGCUAGAUGCUCAUAAAACCUGUAACAUCGUCAAAAAAUGUGAUUGUCUUGUACUGGCUGUGAAAAGAUUUGAAAAUGGACUGAUGCUUCCUUGGUAAUUCUAUUUAUUUCGUAUUAUUAUGCAUGUUUAGGUAAUUAUUUGUUGUCUUGUUAUAAUGUCAGUUAGAAAAUGUUCUGUGUGUAUACAUAACUAAAAACUGUG
rnacentral:lncRNA from 1 species